UGUCCAAGGUAGCCUAGUGGUCAUGGCAUCUGCCCGGUAAGCGGAAGGUCGUGAAUUCGCCCGGGUUUUACCCGAGUAA